rnacentral:rRNA from 1 species
CGCUGAAGGGAGAGCUUGCUCUUCUGGAUGAGUUGCGAACGGGUGAGUAACGCGUAGGUAACCUGCCUGGUAGCGGGGGAUAACUAUUGGAAACGAUAGCUAAUACCGCAUAAGAGUAGAUGUUGCAUGACAUUUGCUUAAAAGGUGCAAUUGCAUCACUACCAGAUGGACCUGCGUUGUAUUAGCUAGUUGGUGGGGUAACGGCUCACCAAGGCGACGAUACAUAGCCGACCUGAGAGGGUGAUCGGCCACACUGGGACUGAGACACGGCCCAGACUCCUACGGGAGGCAGCAGUAGGGAAUCUUCGGCAAUGGACGGAAGUCUGACCGAGCAACGCCGCGUGAGUGAAGAAGGUUUUCGGAUCGUAAAGCUCUGUUGUAAGAGAAGAACGAGUGUGAGAGUGGAAAGUUCACACUGUGACGGUAUCUUACCAGAAAGGGACGGCUAACUACGUGCCAGCAGCCGCGGUAAUACGUAGGUCCCGAGCGUUGUCCGGAUUUAUUGGGCGUAAAGCGAGCGCAGGCGGUUAGAUAAGUCUGAAGUUAAAGGCUGUGGCUUAACCAUAGUACGCUUUGGAAACUGUUUAACUUGAGUGCAAGAGGGGAGAGUGGAAUUCCAUGUGUAGCGGUGAAAUGCGUAGAUAUAUGGAGGAACACCGGUGGCGAAAGCGGCUCUCUGGCUUGUAACUGACGCUGAGGCUCGAAAGCGUGGGGAGCAAACAGGAUUA